rnacentral:lncRNA from 1 species
UUCUGGGUUUCCCAGCGCUUUUUUUUCUUUUUUUUAAGCAGAGUCAGAGACACACAGAGUUCGGGAAGAGAGAGAGAGAGAGAGAGAGAGACAGAGAGAGACGCAGAAAGACGGGGAGAGAGAGGGGGAGAGCAGGUGUCCACUGGCUCCGUCCCUGAGUGCCUGCCAGGAGCCAAGAGCUCCACCCAAAGCCCCCACGUGAGUGGCAGGGACCCGGCCACCCGGCAGGCUCACGUCCAUGGUGUGGUUUCCUGCACAUGGAAGCGCACGUGGGAAAUUCAGCUUCUGAGGUCGACGUGGCCGAGGGCGGCAGCCACGGGGCCUCUCUGCCCGCUCCCGCUCCCGCCGUCGGGCAGAGGGGACAGAGAGGGACAGGGCGGGCAGAGGGGACAGAGAGGGACAGGGCUCCCUGGAGCCCAGGCGGGGAUUCACCCCGGCGGAAUCACUGGGAGCAGCCGCAGCUCAGGGCCCGGAGGCAGCCGCGAAGGCACCGCACGGGUGGGAGGACAGCUGGGCGCCCCCAGGACUCGUGAACCACAGGCGGACGUGCCGGGUGGGGUGAGGCCCAGGGCAGGUGCACACCCGGCGCGGAGCCGCGUGGACUUCGUGGCCAGGGCUGUGGCCAGGCGUUGCUGGGGAGCCCACGUCGCUCCCGGAGCCCAUGUCGCUGGGACGUGCAGAUGCGGUGGCCACAGCCCAUGGUGCCUCCCAGAGGCAGCGUCCGGUGAGCACGCACCACCAACCACGCAGCGACCCCAGCCCCUGGCACCAAGGGGACCCGCGGAGCAGACCGCGCAGGGCCAGGCUCCUCCCAGGCUCAGGCUGGCACCGCCCGCUCUGCACACCCGGAGCCCAGCACCCGCCGAGGCCCGGGCGUGGACUUCCUGCUCAGCCCUGCCCUGGGAGGCGCCCGAGCCCACAGACAGCGCCCGAGGCUCUCAGCGCCCCCCCAGGACCCACCGAGGCCCAGGAGACGCUGUCAGAGGCCUCCUUCCUCUCCCCAAUCCCUGUCUGAGCCGCUAA